GGCUCGGCGGACGGCAGCUUUCCGGUCACGUCGCUCGAAAGGUCGGUUGGGCUGCACUUCAGUGGCUCGUGCGGGCUUCUCGACAUUCUUCCGUUGUUAGAAAGCUGAUGCCGCCAGGAUGUUUGGCUACGGCAGCUACUGUUGCGUAGCCUGGUGCGGAAACAAUGGGAGAACGCGCAAGAAGCCAGGAACAAAGUUCUUCCGAGUUCCACGAGACGACAGUUGCGCCAUGCUAUUCGAAAAGGGCAGCCGGAUUUAGUUGAAUUUCUCGGAAAACAGCUUCCUUGGAUUGCGUCUUCGAAGUUGGAAGGCAAACGUCAGCCACACACUAUCAUCGGGUGGCAAAUUACGAUCAAGGCCGUCUUGCUGCUGUGGGAAGAUGUUUCCCAGAAUUACGACUUUGAGUUUCUCCUCACGCGUCGACUUCAACAAGACCCACUUGAACAGAUGUUUGGACACAUAAGACAAAAGCAGGGAUGCAACUCGAAUCCCAAUGUGCCUCAGUUCAUAUCUGGCCUGAAACACAUUGGGAUUCAGAAGCUCCUCACACUGUCACCGAAGGGAAAUGUCGAGGAUGAUGAGACGGACCUCCUCCAGGAGUUGUCCCCAUUUUCACUUAGUAGCGAGUCACUCGUGGAUGUUGUGCAGCAUGUCCCACAGGACGACUUUCCAUCUUUGGAAAACAUCACUGAGUUGGCAGCCCAUGAGGAGUGCCAUGUUAUUGACAACUCUGCUACUUAUUAUGUUGCUGGCUUCAUUGUUAAAAUGUUUACUGAGAAGGCUGCAGAAGGUUGUUGUUGUCCUGACUUGCUUAGAGAUGAGCACAGUAACCUUGAUGAGCCACAUCAGUUUUUUAUGAUGCUGAAAGCGUACCACGUCCCAGGCAAGCUCUUCGGCAACUUGACUGUGCCAUCAAGUGCAGCUUUCACACUUGUUCAGCAGCUCGAGUCAAUCUUUCUUUCUGUUAUCGAAAGUGUAGCGCACCUCCGAAGUGUUUGUGAAACAUUGUACAUAACUCUCUCGCGUGUCGGUGAUUUUAAUUUUUGCACUCCAGAGUGUCGUGCACGGUUUUUAAAAAUGUUUUGCCGAAUUCGAUUGUGCUGGCAUGUCCGUUUUGUAAAUAGAAACUUGGAUAAAGUUCGCUUCCAUUCUCGCGUCUCUGGUGUACAGUUUGAAACGUUCAGUGGGUAGAAGAUGAUGUUUCAGCCUUUAUGUUGCAUCUCAUAAGAUAUCUGCAACAGUAAAAUUAAUUUUAUUGGGAUUUUAUUGGGCCGUGCAGACUGCACACUAGCCAUUUGUUGGGAUUAUUUGCAGUUAGUAGGUUGCACUCUACUGGUCUAUUGUAAUUACUGCUUUUUUAGAUGGUCAUGUCUGUUUUUUUCCUAUUGUGGUCAUGUGGAAUGUGUAAGUGCCCAUAUUGAUCUUUGUUAAUACUCUCUUAGGUCACUCAUCUCGGAUGCAACUUUCUUUUCUUUUGGACACUGUUUCUGCUUUACACAUAUGUGGAGCGUGAAGGAGAUUGAGAUCAGGGGUGUCCACCAACCUGGCAAGCCUGAAAUGCUCAGGGAAUUUUGGAUCACCUGGAAAAGUCAGGGAAUUAUCAGGGAAACUGUCAAAAGGUUGGCUAAGUCAGGGAAAGUGACGAGUAAAAGUGGCACGGUGGUGCGGAACGAAGCCCGGCGAUCAGGUGUCGUCACGGUUCUGCUGAAUAACAUUGCCCGAAAUGUCAUCCUUCGAAGGAAGGAACAGCCAGGAAAUUUUAUCAAAAUAGUCAAGGGAAACCUGGAAAAAUCAUGGACUUUGGAAAAGUCAUUGGGUAGACACCUUGUAAGAUGUACCUAAUUAGGCAGUGCAGAUUGCAUGCCAAGCCUUGGUGGAAUCAUUUGUGAUGAGUGGGUCGCAGGUACACCGGGCACCAGUCUGAUUUAGCAGUCUUUUGUCAGCCAUUUCAUGUGCGCUUGUUAUGGUAGUGGUCAUGGUAAACCUUACAUGUUAAAUGUGACAUGUUAAACGUGACAUGAACGUAAAACCUGUAUUAGACCGUCGGUUGGCUUUCAGUUCUUGUUAUUUUGGUCAUUAUUGUUACUUAAAUCAGCAGGAGCAAGGUAUUUUUAAUUCUGUAGUUCAGGCUGUGUUAGGGUUAUUUAAUGACUAUGUCACAGACUAAGAAGGUCUAUACUAGUGGCAAUCUUGUUUAGGCAUUUACUUGUCUGUUUUUCUCAUUGUGGUCAUCGUGCAUUUCAGAUUUCUUCUGCUGAGCGUUUUAUUUGCAUACAAAUUGCAUUGGAUCAACGAGCUUUGAUACUGCAUGGCCAGUUUUUUUUUAGUAUGUGUUGCUGAUGCUGCAUAUGUUAUGUGUGUGGUGCACCUUCCAUGGAACAUGCUUGAGAACACAAAACAGGCUUGCAAUCCAAUUGCAGUUGUAACAUUGUAAUUCCAGUUGUUUGAUAAGAUUUUCAUGCAUGCCAUAAUAUGCUUGUCAUUUUUUUGUAGGAUGUAUUGUUUGUGAAUCCUUGAUGCACGGUGCUUAUGUUUUGUAGUUUUGGUAAUUAUAUACGAGGCACAAACUGCCCACCGUAUUUUUGUUGCGAAAAUAAACUGUGUUGGUUACUCCC